rnacentral:tmRNA from 5 species
GGGGAUGAUCGGUUUCGACGAUGUGAGUUGAGACAGGGGAAGCGGGCCGAGGAUGCAGAGUCAUCUCGUCAACGCUCUCUGCAAAAAAUAUAAGUGCCAAAUCCAAGCGCACUGACUUCGCUCUCGCUGCGUAAGUAGCCCGAGCAGUCUGUCAGCCCAGGUUCACCUUCGACCUGGAAUCUGACAUCAGCUAGAAGGUCACUGCUCUGGACGUACGUCACGGACGUCCAGGGGACUUCUACGUGACUGAGUCCGGCGGCCACUCGUGUGCGAGAUGGCCGGGACUGAGAAACCUGCAAGCACACUGCGCCCGGAGAAGCCCUGACAAUGCUGCAUCGGACGGGGGUUCAAUUCCCCCCAUCUCCACCC